UACGUAGGGUGCGAGCGUUUGUCCGGAAUUAUUGGGCGUAAAGGGCUCGUAGGCGGUCUGUCGCGUCGGGAGUGAAAACACGGGGCUUAACCCCGUGCCUGCUUCCGAUACGGGCAGACUAGAGGUAUGCAGGGGAGAACGGAAUUCCUGGUGUAGCGGUGAAAUGCGCAGAUAUCAGGAGGAACACCGGUGGCGAAGGCGGUUCUCUGGGCAUUACCUGACGCUGAGGAGCGAAAGUGUGGGGAGCGAACAGG
rnacentral:rRNA from 1 species